rnacentral:lncRNA from 1 species
GAGAAGUGGACUUGUCUGCCAGAAGAGAAGCAUCCCUCCAAACAGGAAGUGUGCUCAGUCUCAGACGGACUAGAGAAAAAUGCAGAGAGGGUGCCUUCCUACUUUUUCCAUCCUGGGGAAAGUUUGAACCACAAAACCACAAAGAAUAAAAUAUUGCUGGUCAAUGGAAACAUUCACUUUUGGAAAUCAGGAAGUCAAUCUGCUGCUCCAGAAGUGUUGUCCGUGAACGCUGCCCCAGCUUUGGAGGUCCUUCAGGAGAGGGACCCAGUUGGCCUAAGGCCAUCAUCUGGACCAGUGACCAUUGUGUGGCACCCAGAGAGGAGGAUUACAUAUGACCAGCACCAGGUCACUGGAAGAAGGAGACAUGGAAGGAUAACUGGCAAUGGAAAGCUUUCUUCCCAGACAUCUGUGAACCUCAGACCUCAAAAACAACCUAUAUGGGAAUUCUCUCUAAGCUUGCUGAAAAUAAACCUUUUUUAAAGAAAAAAUCUGGAGGCAUUUGUGCCUUAAUGUGUGGAGAAAUGCAUUAAUUUUACAGAGAGAGGUGAAAUGGAGGACUCUAGAAAGACAGAGAGUCUCUUUUUACACCCUCUUUCCAUUCUUUAUUUUCUCUCUCUUUCUCUCCUUUUAUCAUUCACACAUUGAUGCAUAUAGAUUAAAUGUAAUUUUAUAUAAUACAUGCAGUAUAUUAUAAUAAUAUAAUAU